rnacentral:sRNA from 1 species
AUGUUAUAUAAUAUGUAAUUUAUUGAUGGUUAUAGAAAUGAGAUAAGAAAGAGUACCCCCAAUAUCCACCAAGAUGUGAUAAUAUCCUUUUGGAGAAGGUGGGAUUCGAACCCACUACCUUCUUGUCUCAGCAGUGGUGGCCCCAACACCAAGUGCCUACUUGAGAAAGCAUUCCAUGAACAGCGCUUACCACUACGCCAUCCACCCCCCCUGAACAAGACAAGAAGGUAGUGGGUUCGAAUCCCACCUUCUCCAAAAGGAUAUUAUCACAUCUUGGUGGAUAUUGGGGGUACCCUUUCUUAUCUCAUUUCUAUUGGUAACUGCCACUGCAGGGUGGAGCAAUGUUCAACACUAUGUAUAUAGUCUAGAUGGAUUCAGUAUAGUGUGGGAUCCUAAGGCGUUGUGAUUCUUACAUGUCUAGUCCAAGUGACAAGGGACCGCUUAGUAUUGCGUGAGCAAUUGUGGGGCAAGGCACCCCUUGAGGGCUAGAUCCAGAACCUUGGAAUGGUAUAGUGAAGUCUCUCCAUCAAGGAUGACUCAGUUAUGGAUAGAGAAAUGUAACUAGAGAGUAGCCGAACAUAAGGGUAGGCUAGUGAGGUGAAGGCUGUCAUAGUCUCAGACUGCAUAUGGCCUUAGAAAAAAUAUGAAGAACAACAACAACAACAACAAUCUUGUCUUGUUCAGUAAGGAAAUUACG